GGUAGCGUGGCCGGAGCUUUGGUCCUAAGGCGCUGGUUUAAGGCACCAGUCUCCUCAGGCGUGGGGUUUGAAUCCCACCGCUGCCA